rnacentral:rRNA from 1 species
AUGAACGCUAGCGACAGGCUUAACACAUGCAAGUCGAGGGGCAGCGGGGGUAGCAAUACCCGCCGGCGACCGGCGCACGGGUGAGUAACGCGUAUGCAACUUACCUAUCAGAGGGGGAUAACCCGGCGAAAGUCGGACUAAUACCGCAUGAAGCAGGGGCCCCGCAUGGGGAUAUUUGCUAAAGAUUCAUCGCUGAUAGAUAGGCAUGCGUUCCAUUAGGCAGUUGGCGGGGUAACGGCCCACCAAACCGACGAUGGAUAGGGGUUCUGAGAGGAAGGUCCCCCACAUUGGUACUGAGACACGGACCAAACUCCUACGGGAGGCAGCAGUGAGGAAUAUUGGUCAAUGGGCGUAAGCCUGAACCAGCCAAGUCGCGUGAGGGAUGAAGGUUCUAUGGAUCGUAAACCUCUUUUAUAAGGGAAUAAAGUGCGGGACGUGUCCCGUUUUGUAUGUACCUUAUGAAUAAGGAUCGGCUAACUCCGUGCCAGCAGCCGCGGUAAUACGGAGGAUCCGAGCGUUAUCCGGAUUUAUUGGGUUUAAAGGGUGCGUAGGCGGCCUUUUAAGUCAGCGGUGAAAGUCUGUGGCUCAACCAUAGAAUUGCCGUUGAAACUGGGGGGCUUGAGUAUGUUUGAGGCAGGCGGAAUGCGUGGUGUAGCGGUGAAAUGCAUAGAUAUCACGCAGAACCCCGAUUGCGAAGGCAGCCUGCCAAGCCAUUACUGACGCUGAUGCACGAAAGCGUGGGGAUCAAACAGGAUUAGAUACCCUGGUAGUCCACGCAGUAAACGAUGAUCACUAGCUGUUUGCGAUACAGUGUAAGCGGCACAGCGAAAGCGUUAAGUGAUCCACCUGGGGAGUACGCCGGCAACGGUGAAACUCAAAGGAAUUGACGGGGGCCCGCACAAGCGGAGGAACAUGUGGUUUAAUUCGAUGAUACGCGAGGAACCUUACCCGGGUUUGAACGCAUUUCGACCGCUCUGGAAACAGAGCCUCUAGCAAUAGCGAUUUGCGAGGUGCUGCAUGGUUGUCGUCAGCUCGUGCCGUGAGGUGUCGGCUUAAGUGCCAUAACGAGCGCAACCCUUGCCACUAGUUACUAACAGGUAAAGCUGAGGACUCUGGUGGGACUGCCAGCGUAAGCUGCGAGGAAGGCGGGGAUGACGUCAAAUCAGCACGGCCCUUACAUCCGGGGCGACACACGUGUUACAAUGGCGUGGACAAAGGGAUGCCACCUGGCGACAGGGAGCGAAUCCCCAAACCACGUCUCAGUUCGGAUCGGAGUCUGCAACCCGACUCCGUGAAGCUGGAUUCGCUAGUAAUCGCGCAUCAGCCAUGGCGCGGUGAAUACGUUCCCGGGCCUUGUACACACCGCCCGUCAAGCCAUGGGAGCCGGGGGUACCUGAAGUCCGUAACCGAAAGGAUCGGCCUAGGGUAAAACUGGUGACUGGGGCU